UACGUAGGGUGCAAGCGUUAAUCGGAAUUACUGGGCGUAAAGCGUGCGCAGGCGGUUUUGUAAGUCAGAUGUGAAAUCCCCGGGCUUAACCUGGGAACUGCGUUUGAAACUACAAGGCUAGAGUGUGGCGGAGGGGGGUGGAAUUCCACGUGUAGCAGUGAAAUGCGUAGAGAUGUGGAGGAACACCGAUGGCGAAGGCAGCCCCCUGGGUUAACACUGACGCUCAGGCACGAAAGCGUGGGGAGCAAACAGG
rnacentral:rRNA from 1 species